UCAGGCAGGCCAGCUCCAAUGAAUUUUGCCACCCAUUAUAGGUAUAGUAAGUUACCAUUGUAGGUAUAGAAAGUUUCCCAUCUGUAUCUCUUAAUCUGUGCUGCUAAUAUUAAUGGAGAAGGAGAAUAGUGCGCCUGCGUUAGUUUCACUACAUACGUACGAACGUUGUGCAAAACAUGAUCAUUAUUAUUGUUGUGUGCGUUAUGUUGACUGGGCCGCAAAUAUAUUCAUUGUGGGCCGCAUGCGGCCCGCGGGCCGCGAGUUUGACACCCUUGACUUACACUCUCACUUCUUAAGGCUGAUUCACACGGGCGGCAGUUGUCGCUCGACAGUGCGCGCCAAGGUCAAAUUUUGUCGAC
rnacentral:lncRNA from 1 species